ensembl:snRNA U6 U6 spliceosomal RNA
GUACUUGUUUUGGCAGCACAUAUACUAAAACUGGAACGAUACAGAGAAGAUUAGCAUGGCCCCUGCUCAAGGAUGACACUCAAAUUUGUGAAGCAUUUCAAAUUUUU